rnacentral:rRNA from 1 species
CCUACGGGCGGCAGCAGUGGGGAAUAUUGCACAAUGGGGGAAACCCUGAUGCAGCGACGCCGCGUGAGCGAAGAAGUAUUUCGGUAUGUAAAGCUCUAUCAGCAGGGAAGAAGAAUGACGGUACCUGACUAAGAAGCUCCGGCUAAAUACGUGCCAGCAGCCGCGGUAAUACGUAUGGAGCAAGCGUUAUCCGGAUUUACUGGGUGUAAAGGGAGCGUAGGCGGUGCUAUAAGUCUGAUGUGAAAGCCCGGGGCUCAACCGCGGGACUGCAUUGGAAACUGUAGGACUGGAGUGUCGGAGGGGUAAGUGGAAUUCCUAGUGUAGCGGUGAAAUGCGUAGAUAUUAGGAGGAACACCGGUGGCGAAGGCGGCUUACUGGACGACAACUGACGCUGAGGCUCGAAAGCGUGGGGAGCAAACAGGAUUAGAUACCCCUGUAGUC